rnacentral:rRNA from 1 species
AACGAACGCUGGCGGCAUGCCUAACACAUGCAAGUCGAACGAGACCUUCGGGUCUAGUGGCGCACGGGUGCGUAACGCGUGGGAACCUGCCCUUAGGUUCGGAAUAACUCCCCGAAAGGGGUGCUAAUACCGGAUAAUGUCUUCGGACCAAAGAUUUAUCGCCUUUGGAUGGGCCCGCGUUGGAUUAGCUAGUUGGUAGGGUAAAAGCCUACCAAGGCGACGAUCCAUAGCUGGUCUGAGAGGAUGAUCAGCCACACUGGGACUGAGACACGGCCCAGACUCCUACGGGAGGCAGCAGUGGGGAAUAUUGGACAAUGGGCGAAAGCCUGAUCCAGCAAUGCCGCGUGAGUGAUGAAGGCCUUAGGGUUGUAAAGCUCUUUUACCCGAUGAUAAUGACAGUACCGGGAGAAUAAGCUCCGGCUAACUCCGUG